GACAGAGGAUGCAAGCGUUAUCCGGAAUGAUUGGGCGUAAAGCGUCUGUAGGUGGCUUUUAAGUCCGCCGUCAAAUCCCAGGGCUCAACCCUGGACAGGCGGUGGAAACUACCAAGCUGGAGUACGGUAGGGGCAGAGGGAAUUUCCGGUGGAGCGGUGAAAUGCGUAGAGAUCGGGAGGAACACCAGUGGCGAAGGCGGCACCCUGGACCAGCACUGACACUGAGGCACGAAAGCGUGGGGAGCAAACAGG
rnacentral:rRNA from 1 species